CUCCAGGACGAGGGUGGGGAUAAGUUUGAAGCAGUUCAACAGGAUACGGCUGGACCCAGGUAUGUCCACACUGCAGGUAUAUAAAAGACAGGUGGGCCAUUAUUCACUGUCCCUAGAUCUUAGCUUACAGAGCGAAAGGUGAAUAACUUUAUAAAGCAAUUGGAGCAGAAGUUUCAAGAAGGAUGAAUUGGUUUCUGAAACUCGUCUCUUUUCUGGCUCUUGUUUUAAUCUGUUAUGGACAAGACACACACAAAAAGAACGAGACAUCGUGUACUGGACGACCAGAUGACUGGCUGGCCGAGAUAGGCUGCUGGGGCUAUAAUUACUGUAAAAA
rnacentral:sRNA from 1 species